AGCAGCCGCGGUAAUUCCAGCUCCAAUAGCGUAUAUUAAAGUUGUUGCAGUUAAAAAGCUCGUAGUUGAAUUUCGGGAUCAGUACGCUGGUCGUGCCUCCGGUAUGAACUGGUGUCACUGGUUCCUCCCUUCUGAAGAACCAUUAUGCCAUUAAUUUGGUGUGGUGGGAAAUCAGGACUGUUACUUUGAAAAAAUUAGAGUGUUUAAAGCAGGCUCACGCUUGAAUACAUUAGCAUGGAAUAAUGAAAUAGGACGUUGACCCUAUUUUGUUGGUUUCUAGGAUUGACGUAAUGAUUAAUAGGGAUAGUUGGGGGCAUUAGUAUUCAAUUGUCAGAGGUGAAAUUCUUGGAUUUAUUGAAGACUAACUACUGCGAAAGCAUUUGCCAAGGAUGUUUUCAUUAAUCAAGAACGAAAGUUAGGGGAUCGAAGACGAUCAGAUACCGUCGUAGUCUUAACCAUAAACUAUGCCGACUAGGGAUCGGAUGAUGUUAAUUUUUUUAAUGACUCAUUCGGCGCCUUA
rnacentral:rRNA from 1 species